rnacentral:ncRNA from 2 species
AAUUGAACACACAGGGCAAGUGGUUCUACCGAUGCGGUAGAACUGAAAAGGGAAGCCGGUUAAAAUCCGGCGCGGUCCCGCCACUGUAAUGGGGAGUUCUUUGCAUUAUGCCACUGGGUAAAUAUCCCGGGAAGGCGUAAAGAACGAUGAACCUGAGCCAGGAAACCUGCUUGCCCGGUAAUUCAUUA